GGGCGGAGAGGAAUUAAUCAAAGAAGCACAUGGUGGUACUUGGAAAUAUGAAAGUGUAUUUUCAUUUGCAUGGAUUGCAACACACCUGCUCCGUGUGAUCGCGGGGCUGCUGAUUUCCAUCUUGAGAGGCUCAGCCCUACAAGUCCGAGAUACAGAAUACCAACGAAUCGUCAUGGAUGUGUUCCAUGAGCACCAUUUACCAUUUAGUAUUUCCAGCGAUCUGCAGCUUCAAUAUUGGUACAAAAUGCAGAAGACGAAAGUUGGCCGGGAUGCGGAGAAAGGGGAACCCUCCUACGCUGUUGGUGGGAAUGCAACCACUCUGGAAAUCAGUGUGGAGAUUCCUAAAAAACGUUAAAAAUAGAGCUACCCGAUGACCCAGCAAUGGUACUACUGGGUAUGUACCCUAACGAUACUGAUGAGCUGAUCCAAAGGGGCCAGUGUACCUGAAUGUUUAUAGGAGCAACAUCCACAAUAGCCAAAUGAUGGGAAGAACCUAGAUGUCCAUCAACAGAGGAAUGGAUAAAGAAGAUGCAGUUCAUCUAUACAAUGGAAUAUUACUCAACCGUCAAAAAGGAUGAACCUCACCAUUUGCAAGGAGGUAGCUGGAAAGAGAGGGUCUGGUGUUAAGGGAAAGAAGGCAGAGGAAGAUAAACAUAUGAUUUCACUUAUACAUGGAAGUUAAGAAACAAAACGGAUGAAUAUGGAGGAAAGGAAGAACGAAUCAAGAGGAAAGGAGAGAUGGAGACAAACCAUAAGAGACUGUCAAGUCUGGGAAACGGAGGGUUGCCCGAGGGGAGGUGGGUCGUGGGAGGGGGGUAACUGGGGGAUGGACGUUCAGGAGGGCACGGCCCAGAGUGAGCCCUGGGUGUCACAGGCAAGUAAUGCAUCAGCUAAUAAUGUCUGCUGGUGAACUGAAUUUAAAUUAAAAAAAAAAAAUUACCUCUGAAAGUCAUACUACACUUGUGUUAAAAUUACAUUUAAGUGACAUCUUGGAAGGAAAAAAAAAAAUAAACAAAAUGCAUGGAAUGAAUUUAAAUUAAAAAAAAAUUCUACCUUUGAAACUCAUUGUACACUCUGUGUUGACAAAAUUACGUAUAAGAAAAAUCUUGGAAGGAAAAAAAAGUAAAAUUUAGGGAAGUGAAUUUAAAUUUAAAAAGAUUUACCUUUGAAACUCAUACUACAUUCUGUGUUAACAAAAUUACAUAUAAGUCAAAUCUUGGAAGGAAAAAAAUGCAGGGAAGUGAAUUUAAAUACAAAAAAAAAAUAAUUCUACCUACACUCUGUGUUAACAAAAUCACAUUUAAGUAAAAUCUUGGAAGGAAAAAAAAAUAAACAAAAUGCAUGGAAGUGAAUUUAAAUUAAAAAAAAAUUCUACCUUUGAAACUCAUUGUACACUCUGUGUUGACAAAAUUACGUAUAAGAAAAAUCUUGGAAGGAAAAAAAAGUAAAAUUUAGGGAAGUGAAUUUAAAUUUAAAAAGAUUUACCUUUGAAACUCAUACUACACUCUGUGUUAACAAAAUUACAUAUAAGUCAAAUCUUGGAAGGAAAAAAAUGCAGGGAAGUGAAUUUAAAUACAAAAAAACAAAUAAUUCUACCUCUGAAACUCAUAGUACACUCUGUGUUGACAAAAUUACAUUUAAGUAAAAUUUUGGAGGAAAAAAACAGAAAAUGCAGGGAAGUGAAUUUAAAUUUAAAAAAAUUCUACCUUUGAAACUCAUUGUACACUCUGUGUUGACAAAAUUACGCAUAAGGAAAAUCUUGGAAGUAAAAAAAAUAAAAUGCAGGGAAGUGAAUUUAAAUUUAAAAAGAUUUACCUUUGAAACUCAUACUACAUUCUGUGUUAACAAAAUUACAUAUAAGUCAAAUAUUGGAAGGAAAAAAAAUGCAAGGAAGUGAAUUUAAAUACAAAAAAAAAUAAUUCUACCUACACUCUGUGUUAACAAAAUCACAUUUAAGUAAAAUCUUGGAAGGCAAAAAAAAAAAAAAA